rnacentral:lncRNA from 1 species
CCAAAUGUGUUUGGGGGAGGGGAGACGCGGGCGCUAGGUCAGGAGGGGCCGGGGCCUCGACCAUGACGUCCCCUCCUCCUCCGCCCUCCCCUGUAACUCUAUUCCCCCCACCCCUCUUCCAGGCCACCACAAACCGCCUUCACUGGCGGGUGGCCUGACGGGUAAACAGAAAGCCGCCCGCGCGCUCUACAACCGGCCUGGCGCCCCGCCGGAGCGCCAUGGCGAGGGGGGAGGGGCCAGUCCGGGAUGGGGGAGGGGCCCACCCUGCCGGGACCGAAUUUCUCGCCCCUCCCCCUCCCUCCGCUGGGCCAUAGAUAGCGUUCUCUCCCUGGUCUCCGCGCGGUCCGCCUGAAAGGGAGAGGGGAGGGGGUGCCGCGGUGGCGCCACUGUCCCCCACCCCGGGGGCUUGGGCUUCCUGGAGAGGAAGGAGUUGUCGAGGAGUCAGCCCCCGGACCCUCCCCACCCGGGCCAGGUGUGGGGGGGGGCCUGAGGAGAGGCUGAACAGCAUCCCCUUGUCUGACUCCUCCUCCUCCUUCCCCUCUCCUCCUCUCUUCCCCUCCUCUUUUCCCCUCCUCCUCCUCCUCCUCCCCCCUCCUCUCCUUCUUCCCCUCCCCCUGGGUUACCCCUGCUGCCUCGGAAGCAGGACUUGGGGAAGGGGCUCUGCAAACUUGAACUGUGUGAAGGAACAUCAUGCCGUGCCACCCUCGAGUUACUGAAAGUUAAAUACCGUGAGCGUCCGCGGUCACCCACAGGACUGGAAGGUGGGGGGGGGGGCUCCUUGCUCUUCCUCCCCAGCCUUUACAGUUAUCUUUUUAAAAAGCUGGAACCCUUUCACAAUUUCACGUUCCACAGGGUCCAGUCAAGGCAACUAAAAUUUAUUAAGCAGGCACUGUGUUUAAAAAAAAAAUCUGUCACCUGUGGACCAAUGUGAAAUCUUUUUUUAUCUUUUUUAAUAGUUUUAAACAUUUUACUUUUUAAUAAUUUCCUUUCCCCCAAAAGAUUAUUUUAUAAGGUACCUUGUACUUUGCAGCAUACUUUAAAUGUAUUCAAGAAAAUUUCAAUGCAUAAUUUUGGAAUGAAAAAUAUAAAGGGAAGUUGUUAGCUAUUAUUAUGCUACUACUACUGUUUCGUGCAGCUGCUAGGUACUUUUUGUUAAAGAGAUGAAUAACUUUGUUGUAAGUUAUUUGACAACUGGGAGAAAAUAAAAUACAGAAUUAGUACUUGAUUCUAAGCA